rnacentral:rRNA from 1 species
GAUUCCCCUAGUAAUGGCGAAUGAACAGGGAACAGCCCAACUUUAAAAUCACCUAACCGUGAAUUGUAGUUUAUAAGAGGGUAGAACUGUGCAGCCUUGCCUUAAGUCUCUUGGAAAAGAGCUACAAAGAGGGUGAAAUACCCGUUUUGGAGCAAGUAGUAGUAUGGAACUUAACUCUAAAGAGUCAUGUUGCUUGAGAAUGCAGCAUAAAAUGGGUGGUAAAUUCCAUCUAAGGCUAAAUACUGGUAGGAGACCGAUAGUAAACAAGUACCUUAAGGGAAAGAUGAAAGAGAACCUUGAAAAGGGUCUCAAAAGAAAGUGAAAUUGUUAUAAGGAAACCGCUUAAAACUUCUAGAGUGUGUGCACCAAUUUAAAGGGGAGCCAUCCCAUUUGUAUUGGUGUAUAGGCGGCUACUGCUCAGGUUUAAGCUUAUGAGGACUAGAGGGCAAGGUAAACUGAGCCUUGGUUCAAUUUCUUACAGGCCUUCUAGCCCUUUAGAGUUUGGGCCAGUGUAUAAAGUCAUGAGGCAGCUAGCCCAUGGUUCAAAUGUUGUAAUAGACAUGUGCUAGAGUAAUGUUUAAACCUUGGCCUAGUACUGCUAGAUGCUUUAGUAGCCAAGAAGACUUAAGCGACCCGUCUUGAAACACGGACCAAGGAGUCUAACAUAUAUGCAAGUAUUGUGGUGACAAACCACAGUGCACAAUGAAAGUAAUUUCAAGGUAGGAACCUUGAAGGUGCACUAUCAACCGAGCUAUAGGGAAUCUUUCCUAUGGUUUGAGUAAGAGCAGACAUGUUGGUACCCGAAAGAUGGUGAACUAUGCCUGAAUAGGGUGAAGCCAGGGGAAACCCUGGUGGAAGCCCGUAGCGAUUCUGACGUGCAAAUCGAUCGUCAAAUUUGGGUAUAGGGGCGAAAGACUAAU